AAAACCCCGCAAGGGGUUAGUAGAGUGGCGAACGGGUGAGUAACACGUGGGUGACCUACCUUCGAAUGGGGGAUAACGUCCCGAAAGGGACGCUAAUACCGCAUAACAUCCUGCUUUUGAACAGGUGGAGAUCAAAGCCGGGGAUCGCAAGACCUGGCGUUUGAAGAGGGGCCCGCGUCUGAUUAGCUAGUUGGUGAGGUAACGGCUCACCAAGGCGACGAUCAGUAUCCGGCCUGAGAAGGCGGACGGACACACUGGGACUGAGACACGGCCCAGACUCCUACGGGAGGCAGCAGUGGGGAAUUGUUCGCAAUGGGCGCAAGCCUGACGACGCAACGCCGCGUGGAGGAUGAAGGUCUUCGGAUUGUAAACUCCUGUUGCUCGGGACGAAAAGCUUCGACCUAACACGUCGAGGUCUGACGGUACCGGGUGAGGAAGCCCCGGCUAACUCUGUGCCAGCAGCCGCGGUAAUACAGAGGGGGCAAGCGUUGUUCGGAAUUACUGGGCGUAAAGGGCGCGUAGGCGGCCUUCUAAGUCGAACGUGAAAUCCCCGGGCUCAACCCGGGAACUGCGUCCGAUACUGGAAGGCUUGAAUCCGGGAGAGGGAUGUGGAAUUCCAGGUGUAGCGGUGAAAUGCGUAGAUAUCUGGAGGAACACCGGUGGCGAAGGCGGCAUCCUGGACCGGCAUUGACGCUGAGGCGCGAAAGCCAGGGGAGCAAACGGGAUUAGAUACCCCGGUAGUCCUGGCCCUAAACGAUGAAUGCUUGGUGUGGCGGGUAUCGAU
rnacentral:rRNA from 1 species